AGCUCCGCUAGUGUAUACCACGAGUACUGCGGUUAAAAAGCUCGUAGUUGGAUCUUCGGCACCGGGCGCGGCUCCUCCCCACGGGUGCGUAGUCGCGUCCGCGCCUCGUUUGUCGGCGUUCGCAGCGUUCCCUUAGCUGGGCGUGUUGUGGAUCCGGCGCUUUUACCUUGAGAAAAUUGGAGUGCUCAGAACAGGCGACCGCCUGAACAGUUGUGCAUGGAAUAAUGGAAUAGGAUCUCGGUCCUAUUUUGUUGGUUUUAGGGACCAGGAUAAUGAUUAAGAGGGACAGACGGGGGCAUUCGUAUUGCUGCGUUAGAGGUGAAAUUCUUGGAUCGCAGCAAGACGGACAACUGCGAAAGCAUUUGCCAAGAAUGUUUUCA
rnacentral:rRNA from 1 species